UUUCUGGAGGUUUAUUUAAAUUAUGGCAUCAGGCUUGUAUAACGCUAAAUAAUAUGAUUAAAUUGAAGCAAUAUGACGCUAUAGUUAAGGACGAACAAGAAUAUGUCGGCGAGCAGCGCCGCGCGCACUGGAAGAGCGCGCUGCAGUCGCACGCGCAGCGGGGCCACGCGCAGCUGCCGACACAGCGCACGCGCCGACCGAGCGCAACCUGUCUCGCGUUCUAAAAUAAGUAAAUCUAAUUAAUAAAAUAAACCCGACAUCGACAGCUAAACAGUUAUUGGUUAAUGUGUUUCUUUCAUUUUUUACAACUAUUUUAUAUUACAUCAUGUACUUUUACCAAGGAAUACUUUAUUCAAUAAAACAGGAACUGUUAUGGGACUCCAGUAUUAGCAGCGUUAUAAUGGCAUUGUCGAUGUAUAUAGCGAUGAAGUUUGUUAUUGUGUGGAGCGGACAGCGCGCCCAAAAUGAAGCGGAAACAUUGGAAGCUAAUCUGACCAAGCUGCAAACCUUACUAGUAAAAAGUAUGAUAAUUUUACACAAUUUUCUAUGAUUGAUAUAAUUGUUUAACCCUAACAUUAUAACCUAAACCUUGCUGUUUGAACGGCAAACGUUACACCUAAAUUAAUCAUGUAUCACGCGUUAUUCAUAGACACGCUACAAAUCUCAAUUUGCUAUUGAACGUUUGUCUGAAUG